ACUGUGAUGGUGGAAUUGGUAGACACAGUAGAUUUAGGAUCUAUUUGCUAGGGGUUCAAGUCCCCUUUACGGUA
rnacentral:tRNA from 1 species